AAUGUGGUUGGAUGCAUUAAUGGCACACAUAUUCCGAUCAUUGCACCUUCUGAAAAUGAAGCGGACUAUGUCAACAGGAGGUCCAUCCACAGUAUUAAUGUGCAGAUCAUAUGUGAUGCUGCACAUAUCAUCACAAAUGUGGAGGCCAAGUGGCCCGGCUCUGUUCAUGACUCAAGAAUGUAUCGGGAGUCAACCCUGAGCAACAGACUGGAAAGGCGAGAGAUUGAUGGCUUUCUGCUGGGAGAUAGGGGUUACCCAUGCCGACCAAAUCUUAUUACCCCUUACCCAGAACCUGAUCCAGGCCCCCAGCAGCGCUUCAAUGUGGCACACUGCAGGACGAGAGCCCGAAUGGA